GUAUCAAAGUACACAUUGCAUAGCCUUUCAAGAUUUUAACACUUUUUUGUGUUAAGAUAGAACACGUGUAGUUGUCAGCAUAUUUUGACUAUAUCAGGCAUAUUUGGAUACUAGAAAUCACCUUGAUCAUGGAAUCUGAGAAAAUCUGGGAAUCCAUGCAGGCUCGCAAGCUGCCUCCUUAUGCCCCAUUGGAUGAUAUAGAACUUAAGUUGUUGAAGGGCUUUAAGAACAAUCAUUUCAUUUUUGCCGUAGAAGCCUCGCAGGACAUGGAAAUGAUUAGUUCGAAGCAAAUUUGCAAAAAGUGUCUACUUUUCAAUAAAUUUUGCCAAGUAAUCUGCGAACAUGUUAGAGAGUACGACGAGAGACUGAAAAAACUCAGUAAGGCGUCAUUUUCAAGAAGACAUUACUGAAUCAAGACUACUAUAACAACAAAUAAUCAAUUAAAAUAGGUACUUACUUUUGAUGCAACUGACAACAUAGAAAACCUAUCAAUAUUUAAACUGAGAACUUCAAAUGCAGCUAAAGGAAAGGGAAAAAAGAUGUAGGAUGGUCACAACUUUGUUUUAAUUCUAAAUUCAUUUGUUUAAAUUUUUUGAUAAGUUAAUCAGCAAGCUUUUUACGAACUCUGACGAGACUUUACGAAAUCUGAAUAAAUUUUAAAACUACUUCUAA
rnacentral:sRNA from 1 species